CACUUCUUUUGACCACCAUGACAGUGCACCUCAUACUCAAGCUCUCCAUUGAAGAUUCGCUUUUUGACCCCCAAAAAUCUGCAUUAGUUGUCGUUCGUUUUGGAAAAAUUUAUCAUACUCCCAAUGACUGUAGCUGCCACUCAAAAGUCCAUGAAACGUUUGCAGGAAAUUGUAAGCAUAAUAAAUGGCAAGUGCCAUUUGUCCA